CAGUCGCCGCGGUAAUACGUAGGUGGCAAGCGUUGUCCGGAAUUAUUGGGCGUAAAGGGCUCGCAUGCGGUUUCUUAAGUCUGAUGUGAAAGCCCCCGGCUCAACCGGGGAGGGUCAUUGGAAACUGGGAAACUUGAGUGCAGAAGAGGAGAGUGGAAUUCCACGUGUAGCGGUGAAAUGCGUAGAGAUGUGGAGGAACACCAGUGGCGAAGGCGACUCUCUGGUCUGUAACUGACGCUGAGGAGCGAAAGCGUGGGGAGCGAACAGGAUUAGAUACCCCUGUAGUCCCUGUCUCUUAUAC
rnacentral:rRNA from 1 species